GGCGAGCCUGACGCAGCACGCCGCGUGCGGGAUGACGGCCUUCGGGUUGUAAACCGCUUUCAGCAGGGACGAAACUGACGGUACCUGCAGAAGAAGCACCGGCUAACUACGUG
rnacentral:rRNA from 1 species